UAAGAAGCAGAAGCACUGCCCUUUACUGUCAAAGGGUGAUUUUCGGAUACUGUUAGUGUUUGUGUAAAAUUGGUUAAAAUUUUACCGUGAUUUGUCAAAAUAUUCCUAUUGUUAUUCAUCAGAGGUUUCAAAUAAUUAUCAUCAUUACUGUUAGUUUUGGAAAAAAAUUAAAGUGAUUUGUCUAAACAUAGAUGUAAUACCCAUAGAUAAAGCUCGCCAAAAGUUCCC
rnacentral:lncRNA from 1 species